rnacentral:rRNA from 1 species
UACGAAGGGGCUAGCGUUGUUCGGAAUCACUGGGCGUAAAGCGCGUGUAGGUGGAUUGGUGUGUCAGAUGUGAAAGCCCUGGGCUCAACCCAGGAAUUGCACCUGAAACUACCAGUCUUGAGUGGUGGAGAGGGAAGUGGAAUUCCUGGUGUAGAGGUGAAAUUCGUAGAUAUCAGGAGGAACACCAGUGGCGAAGGCGGCUUCCUGGACACCAACUGACGCUGAGACGCGAAAGCGUGGGGAGCAAACAGG